rnacentral:tRNA from 1 species
GGGCCUGUGGUCUAAUGGCAUGACGCGCCCUUGGCUAGGGCGAAACUCCGGGUUCGACUCCCGGCAGGUCCA